GUUCUUAAAUAUGAAUAAUUUAAAAAGUUAUCAAAGGAAAUCUUGAUAGAAAAAUAAAGACGUCGCGCGACGAAACAUCAUAGAAAGGCACUUGCUUAUGAACUAUGAGUUUCUUUAAGAAAACUCGCAUUUAAUAUGCUUUUAUACAUUUAUGUGAAUUGAAUCAUCUUAGUAACAUAUUAAAAAAUCAAACGAGAAUUUGUAAGUAACGGUGAGUGAAAGCGAAUCUAGCUGUGUGCUGAAACCCAAAGAAGGUAAUUAAGUCCUUUGUAGCAUUAAUAAUAAUACAAAGUAGUAUGAUUAAUUUUGUACGAAAAUAGGAGUACCAUCUUCUAAGCUAGAAAUUUUUCUAAUCGAUAGUGAACGAGUACUGUGAAGGAAAGAUUUGAAUUUGCUAAUUUAUAUUUAUUUGAAGCUAAUAUAUAUAGCAACAAAGUGCCUUUUGCAUAAUGAGUCAGUAAGUUAAUAUAUGUAGCAAGCUUAAAAGUAUUAAGGCAUUAAAAGUUACAUGUAUUAGACCCGAAGCCAAGUGAUCUAUUUUUAAGCAAGCUGAAGAUGUUUUAAAACGCAUUGAAGGGCUGAACCCACGUCUGUUGAAAAAUACGGGGAUGACUUAAGAAUAGGGGUGAAAGUCCAAUCAAACUUGGUGAUAGCUGGUUUUCCGCGAAAACUAUCAAAGUAGUACGUUGCUUUUAAAAAAUGUGGGUAGAGCUACUUAUUAAACUUAGAUUUUGCUAUGUUUUAUUAAACUCCAAACUAUAUUUUUUCUAAGCAGCAGACAGUCAUUAGGCGAUAAGGUCUAAUGUCAAAAGGGAAACAACCCUAAUCGGUAGCUAAGAUCUCAAAAUUAUGAAUUAGUGAAAAAAUGAAAAAUAAUUCGAAUAAACAGAGUAGGCUUAGAAGCAGCCAUCUAUUGGAGAAAGCGUUUUAGCUCAUUAUUUUUAUUUAUUUUGUUCAUUUAUAAUGUAAAGAGGCUUAAAUUUAUAUAUCGAAGCACCGAAUUAAGUUAUAUUUAGCUUAGUGGUAGCGGAACGUCCUGUAGUCUUUUAUGUUAAUGUUAAAUUGCAUAUUAAAAAUCAGGAGUGCUAAUGCUGACAUGAGUAGCGUCAAUCAUGUUGAAAACAAAUCAUGAUCGUCUAUUGUUCAAGGGUUUUCAGUAAAUUUUAAGUAACUGAAUUUAGUCGGCCCUUAAAAAAAAAGCGAAAGCUGUAUUUGAUAGGAAAGUUGGUCCACAUGUCUGCAAAACAUUCUUUUGUUUUGUGUAAAAAAUCAAUAUUUUUAAAUUCUGCUCAGUAAACUAGCAACUUUAAGAAAUUGUUUUUCAGGAAAACUUACAUGAAGUUUGACCGUACCUAAAACCGACACAGGUGAACUUAUUGAAAAGAUAAAGACGAGUGAGCGAAUUAUACUUAAGGAACUCGGCAAAUUUGCUCUGUACGUUCGCAAAAAAGAGCACCUUAAAGGUUUCAAGAAUUAGGGGUAGCGACUGUUUAACAAAAAAAUCUUAAAACUUUGCAAAUUCUAAAGAAGACGUAUAAGGUUUGAUGCCUGCCCAGUGCUUGAAAGCGAAAAAUAGAUGUUAAUGCAUAUAUUAUAAACCCAAGUAAACGGCGGUCUUAACUAUAAGGAUCCUCAGGUAGCGAAAUUCCUUGGCGGGUAAAUUCCGUCCUGCAUGAAUGGCAUCACGACUACCCCACUGUCUCUAGUAUAACCUCAGCGAAAUUACAUUGUCUGUGAAAAUGCAGACAUCCUACAACAAGACGGAAAGACCCUAUGAUUCUUAACUAUAAUUUUACAUCGUAAUAAUUUUGUACAUAGUACAGUAAAAGUAGGAGUAUAUUUAUACAACUUUGAAAAACUACUUUGUGUAUAGAAAAUUACUUACUAAAGAGGAAAUGUGUAAAAGUGGUAGUUUACUUGGGACGAGGACCUCCUAAACUGUAACGGAGGUGCACAAAAGUAAAUUUUAAUUAGUUAUUUACACUAAUGUAACACGUAAUGGUAAAAGUUUGCUUGACGGUAAGAAUUACAAUUCAAACUGAGACGAAAGUCAGUCAUAAUGAUCCGGCAGUAACGUAUGGAAGUACUGUCGCUUAUCGGAAAAAAGAAACUCUAGGGAUAACAGAUUUAUCAUGGUUGAGAGUUCUUAUCGAUGCCAUGGUUUGAUACCUCGAUGUCGGCUCAUCUUUUCCUGGAGCUGUAACAGGUUCCAAGGGUAUGGUUGUUCGCCAAAUAAUAAGAUACGUGAGCUGGGUUCAGAACGUCGUGAGACAGUUCGGUCCCUAUCUGUUGUGGGUAAGAAAAAAAAAAGAUUUAUCUUUAGUACGAGAGGAUUAAGAUAUAUUAACCAAUAGUGUAUCGGUUGUAUUGUUUUUUGCAUCGCCGAGUAGCCACGUUAACAUUAUAUAAGUGCUGACAGCUUAAAAGCGCAAAAAAAAUCUUCCUUUUUUUCUGGAACAUUCUAGAAGAUUACUAGAUAGAUCGGCUUACUAUUUAAUACUUGUAAGAGUAAGUAAGUAAAUACGAAAAGUUCAUUAUAAUUUAUACUAUAUUUAAGAACGGGUUUUAUCCCGUUCUUAAAUA
rnacentral:rRNA from 1 species